UACGUAGGGGGCAAGCGUUGUCCGGAAUCAUUGGGCGUAAAGAGCUCGUAGGCGGCUUGUUGCGUCGACUGUGAAAACCCGCGGCUCAACCGUGUGGUCUGCAGUCGAUACGGGCAGGCUAGAGUUCGGUAGGGGAGACUGGAAUUCCUGGUGUAGCGGUGAAAUGCGCAGAUAUCAGGAGGAACACCGGUGGCGAAGGCGGGUCUCUGGGCCGAUACUGACGCUGAGGAGCGAAAGCGUGGGGAGCGAACAGG
rnacentral:rRNA from 1 species